GGUGAUUUAGCUCAGUGGUAGAGCGCUUGCCUAGCAAGUGCAAGGUCCUGGGUUCAGUCCCCAGCUCCG
rnacentral:tRNA from 1 species